AGCAGCCGCGGUAAUUCCAGCUCCAAUAGCGUAUAUUAAAGUUGUUGCAGUUAAAAAGCUCGUAGUUGAAUUUCGGGAUCAAUGCGUCGGUCGUGCUUUCGGGUACGUACUGGUGUCAUUGGUUUCUCCUUUCUGACGAGCCGUGAUGUCAUUAAUUUGGUGUUACGGGUAGUUAGGACUGUUACUUUGAAGAAAUUAGAGUGUUUAAAGCAGGCAUUCGCUUGAAUACAUUAGCAUGGAAUAAUGAAAUAGGACGUUUGACCCUAUUUUGUUGGUUUCUAGGAUCAACGUAAUGAUUAAUAGGGAUAGUUGGGGGCAUUAGUAUUCAAUUGUCAGAGGUGAAAUUCUUGGAUUUAUUGAAGACUAACUACUGCGAAAGCAUUUGCCAAGGAUGUUUUCAUUAAUCAAGAACGAAAGUUAGGGGAUCGAAGACGAUCAGAUACCGUCGUAGUCUUAACCAUAAACUAUGCCGACUAGGGAUCGGAUGAUGUUAAUUUUUAAUGACUCAUUCGGCGCCUUA
rnacentral:rRNA from 1 species